GUGCUCGCUUCAGCAGCACAUAUACUAAAAUUGGAACAAUACAGAGAAGAUUAGCAUUGCCCCUGCUCAAGGAUGACAUGCAAAUUCAUGAAGCAUUCCAUAUUUUU
ensembl:snRNA U6 U6 spliceosomal RNA